rnacentral:rRNA from 1 species
GACAGAGGGUGCAAACGUUGUUCGGAAUUACUGGGCGUAAAGCGAGUGUAGGCGGUUUCCUAAGUCAGGUGUGAAAGCCCCGGGCUCAACCCGGGAAGUGCACUUGAAACUGGGAGGCUAGAGUAUCGGAGAGGUUGGUGGAAUUCUCGGUGUAGAGGUGAAAUUCGUAGAUAUCGAGAGGAACACCGGUGGCGAAGGCGGCCAACUGGAUCGGUACUGACGCUGAGGUGCGAAAGACGUGGGGAGCAAACAGG